rnacentral:rRNA from 1 species
AACGUAGGUGGCGAGCGUUAUCCGGAUUUACUGGGCGUAAAGGGUGUGCAGGCGGAAGCUCAAGUGGUGCAUGAAAGCUCCCGGCUUAACCGGGAAAUGGUGUGCCAGACUGAGGUUCUAGAGGAUGGGAGAGGGACGUGGAAUUCCGGGUGUAGUGGUAAAAUGCGUAGAGAUCCGGAGGAACACCAGAGGCGAAGGCGGCGUCCUGGCCCAUAUCUGACGCUCAUACACGACAGCAUGGGGAGCGAAC